UAAGGAAUAUUGGUCAAUGGACGCAAGUCUGAACCAGCCAUGCCGCGUGAAGGAUGAAGGUCCUCUGGAUUGUAAACUUCUUUUAUCUGGGACGAAAACGGGAUUUUUAUCUCAAUUGACGGUACCAGAGGAAUAAGCACCGGCUAACUCCGUGCCAGCAGCCGCGGUAAUACGUAGGGAGCAAGCGUUGUUCGGAUUUACUGGGCGUAAAGGGCGCGUAGGCGGCGCGGUAAGUCACUUGUGAAAUCUCUGAGCUUAACUCAGAGCGGCCAAGUGAUACUGUUGUGCUAGAGUGCGGAAGAGGCAACCGGAAUUCUUAGUGUAGCGUUGAAAUGCGUAGAUAUCAAGAGGAACACCUGAGGCGAAGGCGGGUUGCUGGGCCGACACUGACGCUGAUGCGCGAAAGCCAGGGG
rnacentral:rRNA from 1 species